GUGCUCAUUAUGGUAGCAUGAAUACUAAAAUUGAAACUACACAGAAAAGAUCAACAUGGCCCCUGUGUGAGGAUGAUAACACAAAUUCAUGAAGCAUUCCAUAGUUUAA
ensembl:snRNA Gm26143 U6 spliceosomal RNA